AUGGGAGACGGGGAAGAGGAAGCCAGGAGCGGGGUUGGUCGUUUUGGCGGUUGGCGAGAGAAUGAUGCCAGCCGCCCGCACGACAUUGCGCGGGGGGUGGGGGGGUGUCGCGUGACGCAUCCCUCCCGCCUCUCAAGUUCACACCUGCCAUGUCCCCCGUUUCUCCACUCACCUGAAUGGGGAAAUAGGGACACGUUGGCAGGGUACAACAUACAGAAGAAACAUGUGCCACUGAGUGAGAAGGAGACUUUGGUAACACUGCGAAAAUUCAUUUGGACCAAUAGGAGUCUGGAAGCGUUAUGUCCUCGCGAGAACAAUAUAUGAAAAGUCACUGAGGAAGACGUUCAGUCAAAAUUAGUCUGACUUGACAAGAUUCUAGGACGACGUCAAUUCGCUGGGAAAUACAGCAUUAAUACAUCUGUCUGAGGACUUUUAUAAUACUUCAACCUAUUACCUAACCAUCAUAUGUUUGAGGAUUUUCAAUGUUUUUUUACUUUAAAAAAACAAUCUUAAGUUUUAAGCAAUUGUAUGCAUUUUUGUUAUCAUUAAAAUACCCAUUUAUAUUCUUA